rnacentral:misc_RNA from 1 species
GUAGGUGAACCUGCGGAAGGAUCAUUACAUUCAGUACGUUCCGUACUGGUCGGGGAGGCUGUAAGCCCUGUGGUUACUGAAAAGUUUCCUGGCAAGCCUCCUGUCUGCACCCUUGUCUUUUGUGUACCUAUGUUUCCUCGGUGGGCUUGCCCGCCGAUUGGACAAACUUAAAACCUUUUUAAUUUUCAAUCAGCGUCUGAAUAAUUAUAAUAAUUACAACUUUCAACAACGGAUCUCUUGGUUCUG